rnacentral:piRNA from 1 species
UGUGCAGGUCCCUCACAGUUCUCUCCAUGU